GCGCGUGUAGCUCAGCUGGAUAGAGCGUUGGCUUGCGGAGCCAAAGGUCGUAGGUUCAAAUCCUGCCACGCGUACCA
rnacentral:tRNA from 1 species